rnacentral:rRNA from 1 species
UAGGGAAUAUUGGACAAUGGGCGAAAGCCUGAUCCAGCAAUGCCGCGUGAGCGAUGAAGGCCUUAGGGUUGUAAAGCUCUUUUACCCGGGAUGAUAAUGACAGUACCGGGAGAAUAAGCUCCGGCUAACUCCGUGCCAGCAGCCGCGGUAAUACGGAGGGAGCUAGCGUUGUUCGGAAUUACUGGGCGUAAAGCGCACGUAGGCGGCUAUCUAAGUCAGGGGUGAAAGCCCGGGGCUCAACCCCGGAAUAGCCUUUGAGACUGGAUAGCUAGAAUCUUGGAGAGGCGGGUGGAAUUCCGAGUGUAGAGGUGAAAUUCGUAGAUAUUCGGAAGAACACCAGUGGCGAAGGCGGCCCGCUGGACAAGUAUUGACGCUGAGGUGCGAAAGCGUGGGGAGCAAACAGG